GGGAGGAAAGGAUGUCCUCAUUCUUUGGAAUGCCCCAUGGCCAGUGUCUGUGUGUGUCUCUUUAAGGUCUGGGCUAUCUGUCUUUCCCAGGAGCUGGUUCACUGUUUUUCUCCACUCUGGCCCUCUGGGCUUACACAACCAGCUCCAUUCUUCCCCUCCCCCCAAGGAUCCCUUAAUUACAGAACAGCAAAUGGACAUGGUUGAGGCUCCUGCACACUAGGCAAGAGUUCCACCAGGAAGUCUGCUCAACGCCCCGCCUGAGAGUAGUUAGUUGUCAUCCCCACUGUACAGACCAGCUCGGUGUGGUCCCUGCUACUCGCUAGAUGCCACAUCCCAGUUCCUCACAUACUGCUUCCAGUCUGUGCCUGUCCCUGCGUGUUCGAGUCUUGUCCCCUAAAGGCUUGACUGUGCAGCGAACAAACAAACAAACAAACGAAAAGCAGAAGAGCCCCUCUUCUGGCUUAGCCCCGCACAAGAGCAGCCAGUGGUGCCAGCCUCAGUCUCCGGAACGCAGCCGCCUGCCACUCUGCGGGGAGGAAGGAUUUACAGUCAACUCCACCGAGAGGCCCCGGACCGCGGUUGCAAGGAAGGGCUGGAGGAAACAGAACAGAAAGAAGAGUGAAAAGCGGUUUCCCGCUCGGUUAUGGCUGUUAUUAUUUAUUUAUUCAUGUAUUUUUUAUUAAAGAGGGAUGUCGGCCUAA